rnacentral:rRNA from 1 species
GAUGAACGCUAGCGGGAGGCUUAAUACAUGCAAGUCGAGGGGUAACAUGUCACGCCUAGCGUGAUGAUGACGACCGGCGCACGGGUGAGUAACGCGUACAUAACCUACCUUCAAGAGGGGGAUAGCCCUGGGAAACUGGGAGUAAACCGCCAUAGAAUUAUUUUUUUGUAGGAAUGAAUAAUUAAAACUUCGGUGCUUGAAGAUGGGUGUGCGUUAGAUUAGCUAGUUGGUACGGUAACGGCGUACCAAGGCUACGAUCUAUAGGGGGCGUGAGAGCGUGACCCCCCACACGGGUACUGAGACACGGACCCGACUCCUACGGGAGGCAGCAGUAAGGAAUAUUGGACAAUGGGCGCAAGCCUGAUCCAGCCAUCCCGCGUGUAGGAUGACUGCCCUAUGGGUUGUAAACUACUUUUAGAUAGGAAGAAACGCUGAUAUUUAUAUUGGUCUGACGGUACUAUCAGAAUAAGCACCGGCUAACUCCG